UGUCAAUUUUUUUAAGUUGGCAGCAAAUUUGCCCAAAAAUGGCGGAUGAUUGCGGUACUUUCUAUAUCUAGUGACUUUAAUAUGUGAAGUACAGCACGCCAUCUAUUUGUGGGUCACCCAACAAUUUACAGCAAAAAGGAUACACCUCUCUCAAUUAUGCAUUAUCAUUUUGAGCAAUGAAUUUUUGAAAUUCAAGUCUUCGAGUAUCGAAAAAGUCACUCUAUAAAAAUAAUUGGCAAAUACCGUAUGUUCACAGCGAAUUCUACGUUUAGGCCUACCGUGUCCGAUAAAAUUGUUCAUGAUCAAAAUGAGUACCUACUUAUAAUCUAUAACAGUUCAUUAUUUCAAAUUUGAUAAGCAAAAGGAACCAAUCUGGAUUUCUACAAACAUUUUCCGGAAAGCGUGCGGUAAGUGACAUGACAUUAAUUAGGUGUAUUUUUCAUCUUCAUUCAGUGUUCCAAAAUAAAAUACUGACCAUCUUCCUCAGGACUCAAAUUUUAUGAGAAAGUCACUGGGGCAAUUCAUCACUAGCGUAAACAAAAUUUGGCAAUCUCAAGCAGUUUUCGAAUUUAUUUGAUUUUUAUGGUGAGAAAAGAGUUAGCUAACACAACCAUCUACUCUCCCUACUCAACCUACUAAUACAAUCACAACCAGCCUUGUCGUACCUGGGAUUCGAACCCAGGACCCUUGUAACCAAAUUUACAGCUACUUCGCAUUUUUUGGUGUGGAGUAGAAAAGAGCUUAUUUUACAUUA